GAUGAACGCUGGCGGCGUGCCUAAUACAUGCAAGUCGAGCGAACAGAUGAGGAGCUUGCUCCUCUGACGUUAGCGGCGGACGGGUGAGUAACACGUGGAUAACCUACCUAUAAGACUGGGAUAACUUCGGGAAACCGGAGCUAAUACCGGAUAAUAUAUUGAACCGCAUGGUUCAAUAGUGAAAGACGGUUUUGCUGUAACUUAUAGAUGGAUCCGCGCCGCAUUAGCUAGUUGGUAAGGUAAAGGCUUACCAAGGCAACGAUGCGUAGCCGACCUGAGAGGGUGAUCGGCCACACUGGAACUUAGACACGGUCCAGACUCCUACGAGAGGCAGCAGUAGGGAAUCUUCCGCAAUGGGCGAAAGCCUGACGGAGCAACGCCGCGUGAGUGAUGAAGGUCUUCGGAUCGUAAAACUCUGUUAUUAGGGAAGAACAAAUGUGUAAGUAACUAUGCACGUCUUGACGGUACCUAAUCAGAAAGCCACGGCUAACUACGUG
rnacentral:rRNA from 1 species